UAGCUUAAGUCGACAUUAGAGACGCCAAGAUGAUACCUUGGAGGUAGGGGUUUACCCCAAGCUGCA
rnacentral:tRNA from 1 species